GCUAUAUACAGGGGGUACCGGUACAGAGUCAAUGUGGAGACUAUAUACAGGGGGUACCGGUACAGAGUCAAUGUGGAUGCUAUAUACAGGGGGUACCGGUACAGAGUCAAUGUGGAGACUAUAUACAGGGGUACUGGUACAGAGUCAAUGUGGAGGCUAUAUACAGGGGUACUGGUACAGAGUCAAUGUGGAGGCUAUAUACAGGGGGUACCGGUACAGAGUCAAUGUGGAGGCUAUAUACAGGGUGUUACGGUACAGAGUCAAUGUGGAGGCUAUAUACAGGGGGUACCGGUACAGAGUCAAUGUGGAGGCUAUAUACAGGGGGUACUGGUACAGAGUCAAUGUGGAGGCUAUAUACAGGGGGUACCGGUACAGAGUCAAUGUGGAGGCUAUAUACAGGGGGUACCAGUACAGAGUCAAUGUGGAGGCUAUAUACAGGGGGUUACAGUACAGAGUCCAUGUGGAGGCUAUAUACAGGGGGUACCGGUACAGAGUCAAUAUGGAGGCUAUAUACAGGGGGUUACAGUACAGAGUCCAUGUGGAGGCUAUAUACAGGGGGUACUAGUACAGAGUCAAUUUGGAGGCUAUAUACAGGGG
ensembl:lncRNA